CAUCACCGUUUUUGGCUAAAUAAGCUCCAAUUUCUCUGCUUCUCUUUCCGUCUCUCGCUCUUACGCCUCUCCUCCUACGAUCUCUCUCGCACCGUCGUACCUCUGUCGAUCCACCAUUGGAACAUUAUCCCAGGGUCAGAAAGACCUCUUUGAUGAAUCAAUAUGUGAAUAAGAAGUUUAGCAAUCAAUACAAGGAAACAAUCAGAGCUGAUUUCUUGACUAAAGAAAUGCAGUUUGAAGAUAGGCUCUUUACUUUAUAGUUACUUGGUUGGAUGCAUCGCAAGUUAAGGACUAGUGAAGCACUCAAGGAUUUUGCCAUUGGGAGAAGCCAUCACUGGAUGAGCAGCAGUACGACAUGAAGGCAAACUAUGGUACUAAGACCUUAGGCAAAUCACAGAGAUACAACCAUCUUCGAAAAUCAUUUGCCAUAGAAGAAGAUGACUUUGAAGAAGAGUCAUCAGCUGCGAUUUCUCAGCUCUUCCAUGGCUUCCUUACCAUUGGUACUCUUGGUUCAGAUACAGUCAUCGCUGAC